AUGUUUCCUACAGCCUUACAAGAACGCGAGGUUUCCUCCGUCGCCUCGCCCCCAGCCCUCUGCACACCCCGCGCCCCCGUCCCUCUACUCGCCGCCGCGCCCCGGUCCCUCUGCUCCGCGGUGCCCAUCCUCGCUCUGCCGUCGCCGAAUCUGGACGAGAUCGGCAGGAUCUGCCGCAUCUCCCGUGACAUCCAACCGCAGCUGCUCGUCGGCCAUGCGGGGAGGACGAACGAGCUGCUCGUCGGCAUCCGUCCCACGGCCCCGCUAAAGAUGGCGCCCAACCCCCUCGACAGCGCAUGCCUCCUACUUGCCGCCUGGGUGCAAACGGCGACAACGAGUAGGCGGCAAGCAUACUACGCCAAGAAGCAAUACAGGGGCAUGAAGCAAGCGAGAAGGUGUGCACGGCGACCUGCUACUGCACUAAUAGUAGCCUUGACGGAGCACCGAGGCCGGCUCGACAGGGCAUGCCGCCUGUCGGUAGACAACUGGUUGUGUGUGACGGAGAUGAACCCCUCGUCGUCGCCUCUAUCGCUGCUAGGGAUGAACCCUGCGUCUGUGCUGGUGAUGGCGCUCUCCAUCUACUUUCUCCACUGGCUAUAA
rnacentral:rRNA from 1 species